UACAGAGGUCUCGAGCGUUAGGCGGAAUCACUGGGCUUAAAGCGUGUGUAGGCGGAUCGUUAAGUGCCUUGUGAAAUCCCACGGCUUAACCGUGGAACUGCUUGGCAUACUGGCGAUCUUGAGCAACCUAGGGGCGAGCGGAACAAAUGGUGGAGCGGUGAAAUGCGUAGAUAUCAUUUGGAACGCCAAUGGUGAAAACAGCUCGCUGGGGGUUUGCUGACGCUGAGACACGAAAGCCAGGGGAGCAAACGGG
rnacentral:rRNA from 1 species